CAACAAUGUCUUGGCUGCUGAACUGCUGCUGCAAGUAUUCAGCUGUCGAGUAAAUAAAAGGCGCUGAACUGAGCUACCUUGGGAAGCUUCCGAGAGGAUGAGGAACGAGAUGACAGGAGGCGUGUGGAGC